rnacentral:lncRNA from 1 species
UUGUAAAUCAUUUAGUCUCAGGGGGUUGUCCUGAACUGCAGUGGGGCUUACUGCAUUGGACCAGAGAACACAGAGGCCGGAUUCUGGAUCCAAGUGCUACUGUAUGAGUGCAUGCUGGGAAAUCCUUGAAAGGAGAUGCAAUCCGGUCUCUGGCUCUCCCCUUUCUCUCCACAUGGGUCUGCAAAGACCCUCCAAACUGAGGUGCAGAAAGGAGCGCAGGAAAAUAAGAGAGAGAGAGAGAACCAAGAAGUAAAACAACAGAAACUCCCUCUAAGUAAGUACUGUAGAAACAAACUGAAAAUAGGGCUAGAAAAACAACAGAGGAGGUUCAAGACCAGCCUGAGCAACAUGGCGGAACCCAGAACCCCAUUGCUACUACACAGACACAGACACACACACACACACACACACACACACACACACACACACACAUAA